CCUACGGGAGGCAGCAGUGGGGAAUAUUGGACAAUGGGCGAAAGCCUGAUCCAGCCAUGCCGCGUGUGUGAAGAAGGCCUUCGGGUUGUAAAGCACUUUCAGUGGGGAAGAAAGCCUUGGGGCUAAUACCCUCGAGGAAGGACAUCACCCACAGAAGAAGCACCGGCUAACUCCGUGCCAGCAGCCGCGGUAAUACGGAGGGUGCGAGCGUUAAUCGGAAUUACUGGGCGUAAAGCGCGCGUAGGCGGUCUGAUAAGCCGGUUGUGAAAGCCCCGGGCGCAACCUGGGAACGGCAUCCGGAACUGUCAGGCUAGAGUGCAGGAGAGGAAGGUAGAAUUCCCGGUGUAGCGGUGAAAUGCGUAGAGAUCGGGAGGAAUACCAGUGGCGAAGGCGGCCUUCUGGACUGACACUGACGCUGAGGUGCGAAAGCGUGGGUAGCAAACAGGAUUAGAUACCCGGGUAGUC
rnacentral:rRNA from 1 species